GACGGACGCUGGCGGCGUGCUUAACACAUGCAAGUCGAACGGAAAGGCCCUGCGUUUGUGUGUUUCUCGUUUGGCGAACGGGUGAGUAACACGUGAGGAACCUGCCCUUGACUUUGUGAUAACUUCAGGAAACUCCGGCUAAUACCGGAUAGGAUCUCCUGCUGCAUGGUGGUGGUUGGAAAGUUUCGGCGGUUGGGUAUGGACUCGCGGCUUAUCAGCUUGUUGGUGGGGUAGUGGCUUACCAAGGCUUUGACGGGUAGCCGGCCUGAGAGGGUGACCGGCCACAUUGGGACUGAGAUACGGACCAGACUCCUACGGGAGGCAGCAGUGGGGAAUAUUGCACAAUGGGCGGAAGCCUGAUGCAGAAACGCCGCGUGCGGGAUGCCGGCCUUCGGGUUGUAAACCGCUUUCGAAUGUGACGAGGCGUGCGUGACGGUAAUGAGUAAAGAAGCAACGGCUAACUACGUG
rnacentral:rRNA from 1 species